rnacentral:rRNA from 1 species
UCUGGUGGUUUGGCGACGGGGUCACACCUGUUCUCAUUCCGAACACAGAAGUUAAGCCUGUUUGCGCCGAUGAUACUCCUUUUGGGGGAAAGUAGGUAGCCGCCAGAA